AGCAUUAGCAACCAUAGCCAUGGCUUCCUCACCAAAACUCUUCUCUAUGUCUAUCCUCUUCCUUUUUGCCCUCUUCUCCAUGCAAAUCCAUGCUAGAGAGUACUUCAGCAAAUUCCCAAGAGUUAACACCAAUGAGAAAGAGACAACAACCAGAGAGCAAGAGCACGAGACCUUCGUUCCCCAGACCACCCAAAAGCCAGAAGAGCAAGAGCCAAGGUUCAUCCCUGAAACCCAAAAUGGUUAUGGCCUUUACGGCCACGAGUCAGGCUCAGGCUCAAGCCGGCCCAGUUUCACCACCAAAGAAACCUAUGAACCCUAUGUCACCCCUGUUAGAUUCCACCCUGAUGAACCCUAUAACAGCAUCCCCGAAUCCUCCAACAAUAAAGACACUUACUACUACAACAAGAAUGCCUACAAGUCCACUAAGCAGCAAAACUUGGGCGAGGCCAUUUUCACCGAGAAAGGAUGGAGCACCAAGGAAAACCAGAACAACAACUACUACAACGGCAACAUUAAUGGCGAGAAGCAAGGCAUGAGCGAUACUAGGUACUUGGAGAAUGGAAAGUACUACUAUGACGUCAAGAGUGAGAACAG
rnacentral:lncRNA from 1 species